CGUCCCCCUCUCUCCUAUGCAUCCACAACCACCGCCCUAUCCCUCCCUCGGAACUCGAUCCGCCGCCGCCCCCAAACCUGAGCGCCCUACUCCUAGAGACCGGCGUCGCCGCGGCCAGGAGAGUCUCGCAACGCGGGGCCGCACCCGCGACCUGCUACCCCGCGCCCGCGCCAACUCCAGCAGUUGGCUUGCUCGCUUGUUGUUCCAGGUGAGUGCUGGUGGAGCUCGAAUCGGGGAGGAGGAAGGCUGCAGAUCCGGCAGGCGAGGAGGCUAGCCGUGGGUUGCAAGAAGGCGGUGGUGGUGUGUGCGCUCGUCGGCGUCCUCGGCGUCCUCUCCGCUGUGCUCAGCUUCGCCGCCGAGGGCACCCGCGUCAAGACAAUGUUGAUAUGGGAACUACGUGUGGUAAAUACUUCCAAGUUUGCUGGCUGAGUAUCAUCGACCCUGGCAAUUCCGACAUCAUCAACGCAACACCAGCUGUACAAAAUAACUAAAAAUUCCCAGACUGUACCCUAUUCAAACUAUGCUGCAUAUCAGCACAUGCUAAUUGUUAAUGUGCAUGCUCAACCAGAAAUCAGAAUUGCCUCUGUAAGAUGUUGUUUGUCAGUCGUCUAACAGCAACUUGGUUCUGAUUAUCUUCUUA